GCUCUAUUGAACAAGCCCUUUGAUUCCCUCACCUGGGCUCUGGGGUCUAAUGCUGAUGUUUAGCUGCAGAAGUCAGGCUUCUUAUUUCCUCUUGGCUCUGUCUAGCCUUUACUCUCUUUUGGUUUUCUAGGACAAGAUCUUUUUUAUUUUAUUCACUUUUCAGACCACUUUAUCUUACCACCAAAGAGAGAAUUCUGCUACAGGAACCACACUGGGCAAUCCCCUUUCCUUCCACUUUCCUCACAAAGCCCAGAACAGCACAAUAAAGAAAGAAACGGGACCCACGAGUGAACAUCGUGGAGCUGGGGAUCAGUGCAAAAGCAAGAG
rnacentral:lncRNA from 1 species